rnacentral:rRNA from 1 species
AGGUUGGUCGGGNANCCACUGGAACGGUGGCUAAUACCGGAUGUGCCGAGAGGUGAAAGAUUUAUUGCCUAGAGAUGAGCUCGCGUCUGAUUAGCUAGUAGGUGGGGUAAGAGCCUACCUAGGCGACGAUCAGUAGCUGGUCUGAGAGGAUGAUCAGCCACACUGGGACUGAGACACGGCCCAGACUCCUACGGGAGGCAGCAGUGGGGAAUUUUCCGCAAUGGGCGAAAGCCUGACGGAGCAAUACCGCGUGAGGGAGGAAGGCUCUUGGGUUGUAAACCUCUUUUCUCAAGGAAGAACAAAAUGACGGUACUUGAGGAAUCAGCAUCGGCUAACUCCGUGCCAGCAGCCGCGGUAAUACGGAGGAUGCAAGCGUUAUCCGGAAUGAUUGGGCGUAAAGCGUCCGCAGGUGGUGAUGUAAGUCUGCUGUCAAAGCGUCUAGCUCAACUAGAUACAGGCAGUGGAAACUACAUGACUAGAGUGCGUUCGGGGCAGAGGGAAUUCCUGGUGUAGCGGUGAAAUGCGUAGAGAUCAGGAAGAACACCGGUGGCGAAAGCGCUCUGCUAGGCCGCAACUGACACUGAGGGACGAAAGCUAGGGGAGCGAAAGGGAUUAGAUACCCUGGUAGUCACCC